rnacentral:rRNA from 1 species
UACGAAGGGGCUAGCGUUGCUCGGAAUCACUGGGCGUAAAGGGUGCGUAGGCGGGUCUUUUAAGUCAGGGUGAAAUCCUGGAGCUCAACUCCAGAACUGCCUUUGAUACUGAGGAUCUUGAGUUCGGGAGAGGUGAGUGGAACUGCGAGUGUAGAGGUGAAAUUCGUAGAUAUUCGCAAGAACACCAGUGGCGAAGGCGCUCACUGGCCCGAUACUGACGCUGAGGCACGAAAGCGUGGGGAGCAAACAGG